AGAGUUUGAUCAUGGCUCAGGACAAACGCUGGCGGCGUGCGUAAAACAUGCAAGUCGCACGAGGGCUUCGGCCCGAGUGGCAGACGGCUGAGUAACGCGUAGGAAUCUACCCUCCAGUGGGGAAUAACGCGCUGAAAGGCGCGCUAAUACCGCAUACGGUCCCGGAGUAACCCGGGAAGAAAGCCGCAAGGUGCUGGAGGAGGAGCCUGCGUCCGAUUAGCUGGUUGGUGGGGUAACGGCCUACCAAGGCGAUGAUCGGUAGCUGGUCUGAGAGGAUGAUCAGCCAGACUGGGACUGGGACACGGCCCAGACUCCUACGGGAGGCAGCAGUUAGGAAUUUUGGGCAAUGGCCGCAAGGCUGACCCAGCAACGCCGCGUGCGGGACGAAGGCCUUCGGGUCGUAAACCGCUUUUCCCAGGGACGAUGAUGACGGUACCUGGGGAAUAAGCCCCGGCUAACUACGUGCCAGCAGCCGCGGUAAUACGUAGGGGGCAAGCGUUGUCCGGAUUCAUUGGGCGUAAAGCGCGCGCAGGCGGCUUCGCAAGUCGGCCGUGAAAUCUCCGGGCUCAACUCGGAGGGGUCGGGCGAGACUGCGAGGCUCGAGGUGGGCAGAGGGCAGUGGAAUUCCGGGUGUAGUGGUGGAAUGCGUAGAGAUCCGGAGGAACACCAGUGGCGAAGGCGGCUGCCUGGGCCUGGCCUGACGCUGAGGCGCGAAAGCGUGGGGAGCGAUCCGGAUUAGAUACCCCCGUAGUCC
rnacentral:rRNA from 1 species